UACGGAGGAUGCGAGCGUUAUCCGGAUUUAUUGGGUUUAAAGGGUGCGUAGGUUGUUUUUUAAGUCAGCGGUAAAAGCCCGGGGCUCAACCCCGGCCCGCCGUUGAAACUGGCAGUCUCGAGUUGGAGAGAAGUAUGCGGAAUGCGCGGUGUAGCGGUGAAAUGCAUAGAUAUCACGCAGAACUCCGAUUGCGAAGGCAGCAUACCGGCGCGCAACUGACGCUCAUGCACGAAAGCGUGGGUAUCGAACAGG
rnacentral:rRNA from 1 species